rnacentral:rRNA from 1 species
GAUAACGGCGUCGAGCGGCGGACGGGUGAGUAAUGCCUAGGAAAUUGCCCUGAUGUGGGGGAUAACCAUUGGAAACGAUGGCUAAUACCGCAUGAUGCCUACGGGCCAAAGAGGGGGACCUUCGGGCCUCUCGCGUCAGGAUAUGCCUAGGUGGGAUUAGCUAGUUGGUGAGGUAAGGGCUCACCAAGGCGACGAUCCCUAGCUGGUCUGAGAGGAUGAUCAGCCACACUGGAACUGAGACACGGUCCAGACUCCUACGGGAGGCAGCAGUGGGGAAUAUUGCACAAUGGGCGCAAGCCUGAUGCAGCCAUGCCGCGUGUGUGAAGAAGGCCUUCGGGUUGUAAAGCACUUUCAGUCGUGAGGAAGGUAGUGUAGUUAAUAGCUGCAUUAUUUGACGUUAGCGACAGAAGAAGCACCGGCUAACUCCGUGCCAGCAGCCGCGGUAAUACGGAGGGUGCGAGCGUUAAUCGGAAUUACUGGGCGUAAAGCGCAUGCAGGUGGUUUGUUAAGUCAGAUGUGAAAGCCCGGGGCUCAACCUCGGAAUUGCAUUUGAAACUGGCAGACUAGAGUACUGUAGAGGGGGGUAGAAUUUCAGGUGUAGCGGUGAAAUGCGUAGAGAUCUGAAGGAAUACCGGUGGCGAAGGCGGCCCCCUGGACAGAUACUGACACUCAGAUGCGAAAGCGUGGGGAGCAAACAGGAUUAGAUACCCUGGUAGUCCACGCCGUAAACGAUGUCUACUUGGAGGUUGUGGCCUUGAGCCGUGGCUUUCGGAGCUAACGCGUUAAGUAGACCGCCUGGGGAGUACGGUCGCAAGAUUAAAACUCAAAUGAAUUGACGGGGGCCCGCACAAGCGGUGGAGCAUGUGGUUUAAUUCGAUGCAACGCGAAGAACCUUACCUACUCUUGACAUCCAGAGAACUUUCCAGAGAUGGAUUGGUGCCUUCGGGAACUCUGAGACAGGUGCUGCAUGGCUGUCGUCAGCUCGUGUUGUGAAAUGUUGGGUUAAGUCCCGCAACGAGCGCAACCCUUAUCCUUGUUUGCCAGCGAGUAAUGUCGGGAACUCCAGGGAGACUGCCGGUGAUAAACCGGAGGAAGGUGGGGACGACGUCAAGUCAUCAUGGCCCUUACGAGUAGGGCUACACACGUGCUACAAUGGCGCAUACAGAGGGCAGCCAACUUGCGAAAGUGAGCGAAUCCCAAAAAGUGCGUCGUAGUCCGGAUUGGAGUCUGCAACUCGACUCCAUGAAGUCGGAAUCGCUAGUAAUCGUGAUCAGAAUGCCACGGUGAAUACGUUCCCGGGCCUGA